rnacentral:rRNA from 1 species
AACGAACGCUGGCGGCAUGCCUAACACAUGCAAGCCGAACGAGAUCUUCGGGUCUAGUGGCGCACGGGUGCGUAACGCGUGGGAAUCUGCCCUUUGGUUCGGAAUAACAGUUGGAAACGACUGCUAAUACCGGAUGAUGACGAAAGUCCAAAGAUUUAUCGCCAGAGGAUGAGCCCGCGUAGGAUUAGCUAGUUGGUGUGGUAAAGGCGCACCAAGGCGACGAUCCUUAGCUGGUCUGAGAGGAUGAUCAGCCACACUGGGACUGAGACACGGCCCAGACUCCUACGGGAGGCAGCAGUGGGGAAUAUUGGACAAUGGGCGAAAGCCUGAUCCAGCAAUGCCGCGUGAGUGAUGAAGGCCUUAGGGUUGUAAAGCUCUCUUACCCGGGAUGAUAAUGACAGUACCGGGAGAAUAAGCUCCGGCUAACUCCGUGCCAGCCGCCGCCGUAAUAC